UACGGAGGGUGCGAGCGUUGACCGGAUUUACUGGGCGUAAAGCGUGCGUAGGCGGCUAUGUAAGUCGGAUGUGAAAUCCCCGAGCUUAACUUGGGAAUUGCAUUCGAUACUGGGAAGCUUGAGUAUGGGAGAGGAUGGUAGAAUUCCGGGUGUAGCGGUGAAAUGCGUAGAGAUCUGGAGGAAUACCGAUGGCGAAGGCAGCCUUCUGGCCUAAUACUGACGCUGAGGUACGAAAGCAUGGGGAGCAAACAGG
rnacentral:misc_RNA from 1 species